UACGAAGGGGGCUAGCGUUGCUCGGAAUCACUGGGCGUAAAGGGUGCGUAGGCGGGUCUUUUAAGUCAGGGGUGAAAUCCCAGAGCUCAACUCUGGAACUGCCUUUGAUACUGGGUGUCUUGAGUAUGGAAGAGGUGAGUGGAAUUCCGAGUGUAGAGGUGAAAUUCGUAGAUAUUCGGAGGAACACCAGUGGCGAAGGCGGCUCACUGGUCCAUUACUGACGCUGAGGUGCGAAAGCGUGGGGAGCAAACAGGGAUUAAGAAACCCGUGGUAUCCAGAACCAAC
rnacentral:rRNA from 1 species